GCAAACAUUUAAAGGUAUUUUAUGGUCGCAUUUGGAAAUAUUUUUACCCAAAAAUACUGUUCGAUAAAAUUUAUUAGCAUUUUCAGUGAGAAGAAAGUUUUGAAUUUAACAAGAGUAGCACAUUUUGGUGGUGAAAAACACUCUGACAAUUGUCGUGUGCAGUGCGCGCGGUUAAAGGCAUAACAGAUCGAGCGCUACCAUUAGCAUAGCAUUUCAUUACACAAAUGUGAGAGACCAUGUUCCGAUAACCUUUCUGUUUUGUUCGUAAUUUACUUUUGUCUCCCGUAAUGUUAUUUAAAGUAGCUAUCUAACCAUGUAAUUUAACAGGUCUCAUCAAUGUUUAAUUUGAUACAGCAGUUUUUUCAUGGGAUCUUGUUAUCCUAACUAUUUUGUUUUCCUACUCGUUUUUUACUUUCAGUAUUGGUUUUCCGAUUUGGAACUGCACAACUGACCACUUAACUCAUCAUCCAAUGGAAGUGUAAACACAUUUACCCACUACGGAUAAUUAAUUUAUGGUUCAAACAUAUUUAUGGUUUAUGCACUAUUUAACGUGUCCUAAGGGUACUCAUUUUAGAUAACAGUCAUUUCAGUACCUCCGCCAAAAAAAAGUUGUGUUUAAUAUCUUGCUUGAUAUAUACAUGCCUUUUUAUCGCUCUACCCUUUAUUAUUUUCCUGAACUAUUAAUUCCGAACUAUAUAUUUCAGCUUGUAAAGAGGAUGUUAUUGCCCACGUUAAGGGGCCUGUUAAUAAUUAACUAAAUUAUUAGAUAUUUUAGAUUAGACAAUAAUAAUAAUAUUAUAACUUUACUAUCACCACAAGAAGCUGACAUGUUUAUAGAUCCAGACUAUGCUUAGAAAGAGUUGCCAAGAUCACCCCAAAGAUCUUCUAAUCAAAGAUGCUCUCACAGGAUGCAGAUGCCUGAAACGAAAUGAAUGAGAAAGAACGCCCUGUUCACCGAAACAACAUUAAUGAACUUGUCAACUAUGCAGGGUUUUAAAAGAAACAAGACGUAGAAAUCUUUCAAGCGAAGAUCAACUAUGCUAAAAUGAAGCACAAAUCCAGUGUGGUGGAAUUGGAUCGUUUGAAGGAAAAAUAUCUUAUGCCUGGAGACGUACGUGCGAAAGACAAAAUUUGCCUAGCUAAAGAAAUUCUAGCUAAGAAAGCAGAGUUCAGAGCAGAAUUGAAGCAGAAAGCUGCCGACCAACAUAAACACCUCUCAGCGCAGCAACACAAAACAAAAAAAGGUGGCACCCAAUCUAUUCACCCAACUCCUGACAGUACAUGGAAUCACCCCAGACAAUUACAGACUUCCUCUGGCGUUUGGUCUUCUCCCUGGAAAGCGGCAAGAACACUACAUAAACCUACUAGAAGAACUGGAUCGCUUUGGACCUUUCCAUCCAGACACCGCCCUUUGCGAUUAUGAAGCUGGGCUACGGAACAGUGUCACUGCUGUCUGGCCCGGGACUACUCUACGUGGCUGCUACUUCCACUUCAAACAGGCUCUAUGGAGGAACUUCGCUCGCUCCGACCUUGUUCCGGAGUAUCAGGUGGUUGGAUCCUUCCAACGGAUCGGAGCUCUACCUUUCAUCCCUCCUGGUGACGUCCACUACGCAUGGCAGACCCUUAGAGUUAGACCUAUCCUCUCCGCAGAUAUGGAUGUCUUUACAUUAUACUUUAAGUCCACGUGGAUGGGAACACCAAACAGACCUGCUCGCUUCGAUCACCUGUCCUGGAACCAGUACGAUUGCUGUCUAACUGGUCUCCCACGCUCUUUGAACCUUGCAGAAGGAUGACAUAAUGGUUUCCGCAGCCUCGUCCAGUGUUCAAAUCCUACCAUCUGGAAAUUCCUUGAAGCCCUCAAACUAGAGCAAGGACUAACAGACCAGAAGAUCACGGAUAGGCUGAUGAGAAGACCUCCACCCCAGAGAGCUGCCAAGUGGAUAAGGUACGACUCCCUUCUGGAAUCCUUCAUGCAAGCCUACAAUAACCAGGAGUACGAAGUCAUUGAUUAUCUCUCUGCUGUUUUUGCUGCACUAUGAAUUCGACAUUUGAUUAUUGAUAUUAACGGUUUUAUGAUAUUGGUAUUUAGUUAUACUUUCGAUUGUACUAUAUUUCAACCUUACUGCUAGGUUAUUUGAUCAUUGUUGAACUGUGUUUCAACGAUCAAUGCUUAAAUUAUUAGAAUCUUCAAUUAUGUUAGGCUUGAACUACUGUGAACACAAUAGAGAAUUAGAUAGUCAGCCAGGUCUGUAAUGAUUCCAUUUUAUCUGCAUCAUCCGAAA